rnacentral:ncRNA from 1 species
AUGGUUCCGGUUCACCCGCCGUCCGGCGGGACCCGGCGACC